GACGAACGCUGGCGGCGUGCCUAACACAUGCAAGUCGAACGGAAAACAUAGCAAUAUGUUUUUAGUGGCGAACGGGUGAGUAACGCGUAGACAACCAACCUUUUUGUGGGGGACAACACUUCGAAAGGAGUGCUAAUACCGCAUACGCUCCAGAUGCCGCCUGGUGUUUGGAGGAAAGGAGCUGUAAGGCUUCGCAAAAAGACGGGUCUGCGUCUGAUUAGCUAGUUGGAGGGGUAACGGCCCACCAAGGCGACGAUCAGUAGCCGGUCUGAGAGGCUGGACGGCCACCCUGGGACUGAGACACGGCCCAGACUCCUACGGGAGGCAGCAGUGGGGAAUCUUCCGCAAUGGACGAAAGUCUGACGGAGCGACGCCGCGUGGGUGACGAAGGCCCUUGGGUCGUAAAGCUCUGUCAUCAGGGACGAACGGUCACGUCAGGAAAUGGGCGUGAAUUGACGGUACCUGAGAAGGAAGCCACGGCUAACUACGUGCCAGCAGCCGCCGUAACA
rnacentral:rRNA from 1 species